rnacentral:rRNA from 1 species
ACACGACUACAUUAGAUACCCCUGUAGUCCUAGCCGUAAACGAUACUCGCUAGGUGUCGGCCACGGUGCGACCGUAGUCGGUGCCGUAGGGAAGCCGUGAAGCGAGCCACCUGGGAAGUACGGCCGCAAGGCUGAAACUUAAAGGAAUUGGCGGGGGAGCACAACAACGGGUGGAGCUUGCGGUUUAAUUGGAUUCAACGCCGGAAAUCUUACCGGGACCGACAGCAACAUGAAGGCCAAGCUGAAGACUUUGCCGGAUUAGCUG